rnacentral:rRNA from 1 species
ACGUAGGAGGCAAACGUUAUCCGGAUUUACUGGGCGUAAAGCGCGUGUAGGUGGUUUGGUAAGUAGAGCGUGAAAGCUCCUGGCUCAACUGGGAGAGGUCGUUCUAAACUGCCGGUCUAGAGGAUGGUAGAGGGAGGUGGAAUUCCGGGUGUAGCGGUGAAAUGCGCAGAGAUCCGGAGGAACACCAGUGGCGAAGGCGGCUUCCUGGACCACUCCUGACGCUCAGGCGCGAAAGCGAGGGUAGCAAACGG